rnacentral:misc_RNA from 1 species
GGAAAACCCAAGCGAGAGACCUUAAACUCAUGGUGGGUAAGAUCAGCAUAAGAAUUGAGAGAAAGGGUAUAAGAAGAAUUGCCCAAAUUGUUGUGAUGAGUAACAAAUUCGUAGUUAUCGGCAAACACACUGAGCCUGUAGAGCUUUUCUUCGGCGGAGGAAUACGAUUUCCCAUGCUCUGUGCACCAGAUUUCAAAGAGCUCCGAAACAUUUGAAGUAGCUGAAAGAGGGCGAAGAAGAAAAAGAAGAAGAAAGACAGUCAGAAAAUGAAAGCUGAAGUUGGCCAUCCCUUCCCUUGUCGAGAUACAAGCGUGGCAGUGUUGGGUUAUCGCCGGC